UACGUAGGGGGCAAGCGUUGUCCGGAAUCAUUGGCGUAAAGAGCGCGUAGGCGGCCCUGUAAGUCCGCUGUGAAAGUCAAGGGCUCAACCCUUGGAUGCCGGUGGAUACUGCAGGGCUAGAGUCCGGAAGAGGCGAGUGGAAUUCCUGGUGUAGCGGUGAAAUGCGCAGAGUAUCAGGAGGAACACCGAUGGCGAAGGCAGCUCGCUGGGACGGUACUGACGCUGAGACGCGAAAGCGUGGGGAGCGAACAGG
rnacentral:rRNA from 1 species